UGCCAGCCGCCGCGGUAAUACUGAAGGUGCAAGCGUUAAUCGGAAUCACUGGGCGUAAAGCGCUCGUAGGUGGCUUUGUAAGUCAGAUGUGAAAGCCCACGGCUCAACCGUGGAAUUGCAUUUGAUACUGCAGAACUUAAGUGCAAAAGGGGUAAGUGGAAUUCCAGGUGUAGCGGUGGAAUGCGUAGAUAUCUGGGAGAACGCCAAAGGCGAAGGCAGCUUACUGGGUUGCAACUGACACUGAGGAACGAAAGCUAGGGGAGCGAACAGGAUUAGAUA
rnacentral:rRNA from 1 species